rnacentral:lncRNA from 1 species
AUGAUUGGUGGCUUGAUCCUGGUCACGUCACGCCUCCAAGCGGUGGUACUCCGCGUGUGGAUUUUGGGGGUGCCCAAGGACAUGGGCAGAGGCCCAAGGACAUGAAUAACUCUCACAUUAUACGUUAACUAGGGUAUGGUUAAGCUAGGGAAUGAACUGUUAGAUCAGGUGAGCGAAUAGUAAUCUCUCUUAAGUGCCAUUAAUCUUGUAUAAGAC